GAGAAGUUUUCCUGUCAUCUGUGAUCCGGGUAAAAAAACACGUCUAGAAGAAAACCUCAGAUAAAAAUAUAUUGUGGAAAGCCAUUGGAAUGAUGAGGCGUUAUGUGAAGUGUUUUUACCAAGGACUCAAUGAGGAGAAUAAAGACAAGCUUGUUACCAGGGAAGUUCCAAAGCGUCUCGCCCAGUUCAAGACUCUCUCCUCCGGGAUCGAUC